GCCUGUGUGGCUCAGUUCGUUGAGCGUCUGACUUUGGCUCAGGUCACGAUCUCACACUUUGUGGAUUCGAGCCCCACAUCAGGCU
rnacentral:tRNA from 1 species